rnacentral:piRNA from 1 species
UGAGGCUAGAGAAGGGUAUGGAAUUCCUUG